GCAGUUCUAGGAGCUAGGGAAUUAAGUGAUUGCAUUCAUUUUGUGCACAGUCCUGUGCUAUCUGUGAAAAACAUUUAUGUAAAAGAGCCUGGAAUAUGCUCUGAGUUUUUUGGAAGUCAUAUCAUAUCUUGUCUCUUUUACAGAUUACAUGACUGAAUACCAGGAUCUUUUCAGUUACCACUAUGGUCUGUGUACCAAGUUUUAUUCCACCAAUUAGCUUAUCAGCUGGAAUUCCUGGUACAUGAAGAAAUUUUGGGGUAUAAUAUCCCUAUAGUGAGGAGGAAUUGGAAAUAAUAUUUGUACACUGCUUUAGAAAUGUUUGCUUGUGUGAUGAAUAUGAAGCAGGUUUAUUCAUUCUGCCAACUUUGAAUUCAUAUGGUGUAGCAGAUAAAAUUAUUAUUUGGCCUUUGCUCUUGCGGUCUUUCACUGCAGAAGCUGCCCAAAUCGUCCCACUUAACCUGUUGCUGUAGAAGUUAUAAAUUAAUUUAGAGAGGCAUCAACAACUUUUUUUGACAGAAGGAUUCAAAUAUUAGGAAAAAAAAUACCCUGCAAUAAGCUUGUCCUACAAAAGAAUUUUGGCCUUCUUUCCUGUGGAUUCCCUGUCAAAGAAGUCCUCCAAGAAUUAUGCCAAGAAGUUCCACAGGAACCCAUGUUUUCUGUGGGCAUGAAAGCUCAAAUCCAGAAGUGACUACCAAAAUAUACAAUUUCAAGAAGGACAGAACAACAUAAAAGGAACAAAUAAGCCUGUGAAUGUCAUCUUGGGAUGCCUGCUGCAAAACCACCAGCUGGAUUAUUGAGAUUUCCUUCAAUGCCACCACCUGAACCAUGGAGUGGUUGGACAGACUCCAUUUCCUACCUUCAAGUGAGAAAUUGGAGCUGAGACUUAACACCUCUACUGUAAAAACAAUUCUGAAGAACAAAAGAGCAAUGGGAAGUUUAAACACUACAAAGGUAACAAAAAACUAACAAUCAAACUCAUUGAAAUCGUACCGACUCCUGGCAAAGCAAAUGUGGUGAAAGGUUAUGGAAGGUUUUAAGAUAACCUUUUUAAUCCUGCAGCGAACACAACGUAAACACUAUUGCUCCAAAAAGACUUAAGAAUCUUCAAAUAUUAGGGACAUUGCAGACCACAUGUCUUAUGUCCAUAUCUCUUUGCACCGUAUUAUGCAUAUAUUUGCAUACAAAUCCAUGUAUUUGUCUGCACUGCUAAUUCUAAAACAGAGGAAUGUAAGGAAUGUAAGUCCACUGGCUUAAAAUGCAGCUCCCUUUGAAUUUCAGUGAUUUGGAGUUCCUAAUUCUCUUUCAUUUUCAAAUGAAAUCCACAAAGUGAUAUAUAAAAGUAAGUCUCACCUUCUUUUCUUCAAGGUAAUGACGUGAAUCCAUGCUGGCAAUUUAUAUUUGGUGGUGCUUCUAGGUAUGAUGGUUCCGUACUUCACAGCCUAUGAGAAUAUUGUGGUAGUAAUAAUUCAGUACAGACUUGGACUUCUUGGAUUCUUCAGAUAAGGUGACGUACUUCACUUCUUGCUAAGUAUUUCAUACCUUGUUUAAAACACAGAUAGUUUUGUUUUUUAAAUCAACUGAACUUCUCACCAGCUUCACACUGGUGCAGUGAUUUAAAUCUAUAUAGUUCCCUAGCACUGGGACAUGAGGACAUUGAGAGUCAGGUCCUAAAAACCUACUUAUUUGCAUUGUCAUUUGAUUACAACCUGCUAUUAAAUCAUUGGGCUUGUUUGGUUCUAUGGAGGGUGUUCCUUCUUGCCAUCUCCUUCGUUCACUGGUGUAUAAAACAAAAAUUCAUAUAAUAUAAGGCUAGGAAUCCAUCUGUGUAUGGACAAACAAACAGAACUAAUGGUCUUCCUGAAAAUUUGGCUUAUAUUGCUUUAUUUUCAGUACUGGUGAUGAAUGUGCUCGUGAGAACUGGGCAUUUUUG
rnacentral:lncRNA from 1 species